AUCCAGCUGAGGAGUUUUAAAUAGAAGGAAAUGUACCUCCUGGAU
rfam:Schistosoma haematobium scaffold1000_10, whole genome shotgun sequence.